rnacentral:rRNA from 1 species
GACGAACGCUGGCGGUGCGCUUAACACAUGCAAGUCGAGCGAGAACCAGACCCUUGGGUCUGGGGACAGCGGCGAACGGGUGAGUAACACGUGGGUAAUCAACCCUCGGUACUGGGAUAGCCCGGGGAAACCCGGAUUAAUACCGGAUGGCCCUUCGGAGCUUUCGGUUCUGAAGGAAAAGGUAAGGCUUCGGCCUCCGACCGAGGACGAGCCCGCGGCGGAUUAGCUUGUUGGUGGGGUAACGGCCUACCAA